rnacentral:rRNA from 1 species
CCUUGACAUACUAAGAACUUUCCAGAGAUGGAUUGGUGCCUUCGGGAACUUAGAUACAGGUGCUGCAUGGCUGUCGUCAGCUCGUGUCGUGAGAUGUUGGGUUAAGUCCCGCAAACGAGCGCAACCCUUUUCCUUAUUUGCCAGCGGGUCAUGCCGGGAACUUUAAGGAUACUGCCAGUGACAAACUGGAGGAAGGCGGGGACGACGUCAAGUCAUCAUGGCCCUUACGGCCAGGGCUACACACGUGCUACAAUGGUCGGUACAAAGGGUUGCUACCUCGCGAGAGGAUGCUAAUCUCAAAAAGCCGAUCGUAGUCCGGAUCGCAGUCUGCAACUCGACUGCGUGAAGUCGGAAUCGCUAGUAAUCGCGGAUCAGAAUGCCGCGGUGAAUACGUUCCCGGGCCUUGUACACACCGCCCGUCACACCAUGGGAGUUUGUUGCACCAGAAGUAGGUAGUCUAACCGCAAGGAGGACGCUUACCACGGUGUGGCCGAUGACUGGGGUGAAGUCGUAACAAGGUAAGCGUAGAUGA